CGAUGACUCAUCGUGCAGAUGAACUACCUGAAACGUCAGUGUCGCUGGACUCCAUCUGCACUGCUUGACUGCUGGGGUUCUGUUAGGCAUGCAGAGAGGGGAAUCCCGCCUAAGACGGAGUGUGCAUGAGCGUUUCUGCGGCUGCGCGGAUGUUCCCGAACAGCCGAACACUGAUGAGGAUGACUCAUCCCUAGAAACCCCACUGGAUGGGUGCGGAGGUUGCACUUUGCAGUCCAAACCUUCUGCAAGUUCUGCUUAGUAAGACUUCACUGGCCUUCUUCUAAUGAGCUGCACUGGAACCAGCCCCAGCAAACCCAACGGUCCACACUAUCAGGAAGUAAUCACCACUCUAAUCAGCCAUAAAGAUGAUGUCUCAGCAUAGACAACAGGUGCAAUGUAGCUGAUCGGUAUUCCGGUGGGACGAGACUUCCUUCCCAGAGAGAAUGCAUGAUCACAGUAUGCUGUGGAUUUCCGAGGGACACACCCCAUAGAGAGCUACUAUUUCAUUAUGAUCUCAGCGUGGUCAGACUGGUAUAGACUAAACUACUACAUCAUACUUGGAUGUUCUCUUCAUGUUUUACAACUUAGGAGUUCAACAAAAUAAUGUAAACCAUCCCAAUUCAAGAAAAUUGUCUUUGUUGCUCUGCUAGGCGUUUCAUGCUGCGCCCUGGCACUUGUUUCCCCAUAAUCUGUAGUCAAGGACAAAAUGAGAAAGCCAUCUCUGUGUCCAGAGGCCAGUGCCAUACAGGAAACACAUCAGCGGCGUGCCACAGUGGGUUCCUGGCACAGUGAUGCCUGUCAUCCACAGCAGUGCUUGAAUGAGACUCACUGGAAGACUGUGACAUACCGUAUGAGCGUUUUGUAGACUGGGUUGUGCUAAAUUCAGAAUUUAACAAUUGGUUUUCAGUUCAUGAGUGUGAAUUUAAAUUGAAUUGGCCACACCUAACAGAAAGUUGAUUUUAAAUGUGAACUGGAAUGACAGCACAAAGAAAAUACAAAGAAAUUCAACACAGUUCAUUGUUCUGGGAAAUUGAGAUCAUCCACAGCUUGUGUUUUCAAACCUUCUCUUUUGUGUACAGACCAUAACCUUAAUGUUUGCCAAAGCGGGUACAUUUUAUUAACUUUGUCCAGUCUUCAGAGACUAUUUAAUGUGCAACCUAAUUAUUGUAAAACAAUGACAUCCUUAUAAACAGAUAUGGGUGCCGGUCUAUCAGGCAACCUAGAUAAAUAUUUAGGAGAGCUUUGUUUCUUGGCUUGCAGCCAUAUCUUGAUGACAUUGUAGCUCUGUCCUCCAAACAGUAUGAUGCAAUGAAAGACAAUCUUCCACACAGCAGUGAGCGGCCCUGCUUUACUUCGGUACCUACAUUAUUCUCAGAGGGUACUAUGCAAGUGAGCAUCAGAAGAAUGCAAUGAAAUCCAAGCAUAUUCACCUGGUGGAACAUGCAGGCUCUGCAGGGAGUAUAGCGUGUGCUGAUGCUGCCAAGGCUGGCCACAGUAAAGACUGGCAUCCAUUUACAUCAUGCUUGAGUGAACGGAUACUCCAAUUACAGGAAAUGCAUACACUGGCCUCCCGGGCUGGUGCUUUCAGUCUGCCUGUCUUACAUAACCACAAAUUGCUGGACAUUUAUGAACUGGAGGCUCCAUUGUUUCAGCUCUAUGUUCAUAUUUUAGGGUUGUAAACAGAAACCGAUUGGGGUGAUAUUUCGUAACAUCUUAAGACACUGGUAUUUCCUCAUUAAGGGGAACUACCUGAAAUGUGUAUUUUUUUGUUGCACUGUUGCUGCUGUUAACAGGACAAGUCUAAAAACUAAAACUGUGAACUAUAUUUUACUUUAAUUUUAGAUAACUAUAUCUAACAGCUAUGUUUUUCGUUGGCAUGACAUUAGCACUGCAAAAAAAUUGUCGACUAACUGCUUUUUGCAACAACUUGUAAUAUUAAAACAUUUCUUUACUGUUUUAUUAUGCUUUUUUUGCACAGUUUUACUGCCAA
ensembl:lncRNA